rnacentral:rRNA from 1 species
UACGUAGGGGGCAAGCGUUAUCCGGAUUUACUGGGUGUAAAGGGAGCGUAGACGGCAUGGCAAGUCUGAUGUGAAAACCCGGGGCUCAACCCCGGGACUGCAUUGGAAACUGUCAGGCUAGAGUGUCGGAGAGGCAAGUGGAAUUCCUAGUGUAGCGGUGAAAUGCAUAGAUAUCGCGCAGAACUCCGAUUGCGAAGGCAGCAUGCCGGCUCCACACUGACGCUGAGGCACGAAAGCGUGGGUAUCGAACAGG